GACGAACCGUGCGAACGUUAUUCGGAAUCACUGGGCUUAAAGCGCGUGUAGGCGGGAGGGCACGUCCGUCGCUGAAAUCCCCCGGCUCAACCGGGGAACGGGCGCGGAUACGACCUUCCUGGAGGGGCGUAGGGGGGACCUGGAACUUCCGGUGGAGCGGUGAAAUGCGUUGAGAUCGGAAGGAACGCCCGUGGCGAAAGCGAGGUCCUGGACGCCUACGUGACGCUGAGACGCGAAAGCCAGGGGAGCGAACGGG
rnacentral:rRNA from 1 species